GGAGUUGAUAAAAAAGUUAAUUUGAACAUUGAUAAUUUUCAAAACCUAUUUGUAUUGUUGAUAAUCAUGGAACAGUUUCAAUCCUUGUGCUCUCCUUUAAAGGAUAAGUGCAAGACCUGUUCGUACGAGUCACGCACAUUCAACUGCAACCAAUUCUAGAACUGUUGUGGGGACAAAUGUUGUGAACAUAUAGAGGAACUUUAUCAACAGUGGUACUUUUGAGGAGAGUGAGUAAUCGCACCCCUUCCCCUCGGUCAUUGUCAACGAAGUCGUUGUCACAGCAAAACCUCACUAGAUGGGCGACACCACAGGAUAAUUCCGGAAGCACCAACAAAAAGAAACCUACAGCUGCACCAAAAAUAAAAACUAGACUAUGUAAUAAUCUCACAGAAUGCAUAUUGGUGACAUUUCUUUAUUUAAAUGUGUUAAAAUUUAGCCAUCAUUAAAUUUAUUUUGAUGAUCAUGAACAAACACUGAAUUGAAAAUGAUAAAUACUUAAAAAGUUGUGAA